AGCGGGAAGAGCUCAAAUUUGAAAUCUGGCAGUCUUCGAUUGUCCGAGUUGUAAUCUAUAGAGGCGUUUUCCGUGCCGGACCGUGUCCAAGUCUCCUGGAAAGGAGUAUCAAAGAGGGUGAUAAUCCCGUACUUAACACGACCACCGGUGCUCUGUGAUACGUCUUCUACGAGUCGAGUUGUUUGGGAAUGCAGCUCAAAAUGGGUGGUGAAUUCCAUCUAAAGCUAAAUAUUGGCGAGAGACCGAUAGCGAACAAGUACCGUGAGGGAAAGAUGAAAAGCACUUUGGAAAGAGAGUUAAACAGUACGUGAAAUUGUUGAAAGGGAAACGAUUGAAGUCAGUCGUGUUCUUUGGAUUCAGCCAGUUCUGCUGGUCUACUUCCUUGGAACGGGUCAACAUCAGUUUUGUCCGGUGGAUAAAGGUAGUAGGAAUGUGACUUCUCCGGAAGUGUUAUAGCCUAUUAUCACAUACACUGGGUGAGACUGAGGACUGCAGCUCGCCUUUAUGGCCGGCCUUCGGGCACGUUCGAGCUUAGGAUGUUGACAUAAUGGCUUUAAACGACCCGUCUUGA
rnacentral:rRNA from 1 species